ensembl:snRNA U6 U6 spliceosomal RNA
GUGCCCAUUUCGGCGGCAUGUAUACUAAAAUUGGAAGGAUACAGAGAAGAUUAGCAUGGCCCCAGCGCAAGGAUGACAUGCAAAUUUGUGAAGAUUUCCAUAUUUUU